rnacentral:rRNA from 1 species
AGUGAACGCUGGCGGUAGGCCUAACACAUGCAAGUCGAACGGCAGCACAGUAAGAGCUUGCUCUUACGGGUGGCGAGUGGCGGACGGGUGAGGAAUACAUCGGAAUCUACUUUUUCGUGGGGGAUAACGUAGGGAAACUUACGCUAAUACCGCAUACGACCUACGGGUGAAAGCAGGGGAUCUUCGGACCUUGCGCGAUUGAAUGAGCCGAUGUCGGAUUAGCGAGUUGGCGGGGUAAAGGCCCACCAAGGCGACGAUCCGUAGCUGGUCUGAGAGGAUGAUCCGCCACACUGGAACUGAGACUCGGUCCAGACUCCUACGUGAGGCUGCAGUGGGGAAUAUUGGACCAUGUGCGCAAGCCUGAUCCAGCCAUACCGCGUGGGUGAAGAAGGCCUUCGGGUUGUAAAGCCCUUUUGUUGGGAAAGAAAAGCAGCAGGUUAAUACCCCGCUGUUCUGACGGUACCCAAAGAAUAAGCACCGGCUAACUUCGUG